CCUACGGGUGGCAGCAGUGGGGAAUAUUGCACAAUGGGGGAAACCCUGAUGCAGCAACGCCGCGUGAGUGAUGACGGCCUUCUGGUUGUAAAGCUCUUUUUUCAGGGGCGAAAAUGACGGUACCGGAGGAGGAAGCCACGUCUAACUCCGUGCCAGCAGGCGCGGUAAUACGUAGGUGGCGAGCGUUGUCCGGAGUUACUGGGCGUAAAGGGAGCGUAGGCGGACUGUUAAGUGAGAUGUGAAAUACUUGGGCUCAACUUGAGUGCUGCAUUUCAAACUGGACGUCUAGAGAGUAGGAGGGGAGAAUGGAAUUCAUGGUGUAGCGGUGAAAUGCGUAGAGAUUAGACAGAACACCAGUGGCGAAGGCGAUUCUCUAGGCUGUAACUGACGCUGAGGCUCGAAAGCGUGGGGAGCAAACAGGAUUAGAUACCCGUGUAGUC
rnacentral:rRNA from 1 species